AGAGUUUGAUCCUGGCUCAGAUUGAACGCUGGCGGCAGGCUUAACACAUGCAAGUCGAGCGGAAACGAUGAUAGCUUGCUAUCAGGCGUCGAGCGGCGGACGGGUGAGUAAUGCCUAGGAAUCUACCUAGUAGUGGGGGAUAGCACGGGGAAACUCGUAUUAAUACCGCAUACGUCCUACGGGAGAAAGCAGGGGACCUUCGGGCCUUGCGCUAAUAGAUGAGCCUAGGUCGGAUUAGCUAGUUGGUGAGGUAAUGGCUCACCAAGGCGACGAUCCGUAACUGGUCUGAGAGGAUGAUCAGUCACACUGGAACUGAGACACGGUCCAGACUCCUACGGGAGGCAGCAGUGGGGAAUAUUGGACAAUGGGCGAAAGCCUGAUCCAGCCAUGCCGCGUGUGUGAAGAAGGUCUUCGGAUUGUAAAGCACUUUAAGUUGGGAGGAAGGGCAUUAACCUAAUACGUUAGUGUUUUGACGUUACCGACAGAAUAAGCACCGGCUAACUCUGUGCCAGCAGCCGCGGUAAUACAGAGGGUGCAAGCGUUAAUCGGAAUUACUGGGCGUAAAGCGCGCGUAGGUGGUUCGUUAAGUUGGAUGUGAAAUCCCCGGGCUCAACCUGGGAACUGCAUUCAAAACUGACGAGCUAGAGUAUGGUAGAGGGUGGUGGAAUUUCCUGUGUAGCGGUGAAAUGCGUAGAUAUAGGAAGGAACACCAGUGGCGAAGGCGACCACCUGGACUGAUACUGACACUGAGGUGCGAAAGCGUGGGGAGCAAACAGGAUUAGAUACCCUGGUAGUCCACGCCGUAAACGAUGUCAACUAGCCGUUGGGAGCCUUGAGCUCUUAGUGGCGCAGCUAACGCAUUAAGUUGACCGCCUGGGGAGUACGGCCGCAAGGUUAAAACUCAAAUGAAUUGACGGGGGCCCGCGCAAGCGGUGGAGCAUGUGGUUUAAUUCGAUGCAACGCGAAGAACCUUACCUGGUCUUGACAUAUCUAGAAUCCUGCAGAGAUGCGGGAGUGCCUUCGGGAAUUAGAAUACAGGUGCUGCAUGGCUGUCGUCAGCUCGUGUCGUGAGAUGUUGGGUUAAGUCCCGCAACGAGCGCAACCCUUGUCCUUAGUUACCAGCGGGUUAAGCCGGGAACUCUAAGGAUACUGCCAGUGACAAACUGGAGGAAGGCGGGGACGACGUCAAGUCAUCAUGGCCCUUACGACCAGGGCUACACACGUGCUACAAUGGUAGGUACAGAGGGCAGCUACACAGCGAUGUGAUGCGAAUCUCAAAAAGCCUAUCGUAGUCCAGAUUGGAGUCUGCAACUCGACUCCAUGAAGUAGGAAUCGCUAGUAAUCGCGGACCAGAAUGCCGCGGUGAAUACGUUCCCGGGCCUUGUACACACCGCCCGUCACACCAUGGGAGUUGAUUGCACCAGAAGUGGAUAGCUUAACCUUCGGGGGAGUGUUCACCACGGUGUGGUUGAUGACUGGGGUGAAGUCGUAACAAGGUAACCGUA
rnacentral:rRNA from 1 species